rnacentral:rRNA from 1 species
GAUGAACGCUGGCGGCGUGCCUAACACAUGCAAGUCGAGCGAUCUUCUUCGGAAGAGAGCGGCGGACGGGUGAGUAACGCGUGGGUAACCUGCCCUGUACACACGGAUAACAUACCGAAAGGUAUGCUAAUACGGGAUAACAUAAGAAAUUCGCAUGUUUUUCUUAUCAAAGCUCCGGCGGUACAGGAUGGACCCGCGUCUGAUUAGCUAGUUGGUGAGGUAACGGCUCACCAAGGCGACGAUCAGUAGCCGACCUGAGAGGGUGAUCGGCCACAUUGGAACUGAGACACGGUCCAAACUCCUACGGGAGGCAGCAGUGGGGAAUAUUGCACAAUGGGCGAAAGCCUGAUGCAGCAACGCCGCGUGAGCGAUGAAGGCCUUCGGUCGUAAGCUCUGUCCUCAAGGAAGAUAAUGACGGUACUUGAGGAGGAAGCCCCGGCGUAACUACGUGCCAGCAGCCGCGGUAACAAUACUCGUA